rnacentral:lncRNA from 1 species
AUGGGGCUUUAUAUUAAAGACAAACAGCCAAAAUCCACAGUUGAAGACAGAAGAGCAGCAGCUAGAAGACAGAGAAGCACUGGACGAGUCGCCAUGGGGCCCCUGUUCGUACCCCUGCUGCUUGUCCAGACAGCGCUCUGCUCGCAGCACUCGGUGACAAUAACACCCGGGAACACCAUGGUCCACUUGGGUCAAGUGCUCAACCUGACCUGCGCGUCGACCUGUCCGCAAGGCGAAAUCGGGUGGAAGAUCCUGGAUGACAUCGACGCAGAAAUUUUCAGCGGGAAUCAGUCCAGCGUCUUGCACAUCUCCUCAGCCAACCUCGGGCACAACGGGAACUUCGAGUGCUUCUCGAACUGCGGCAAAAAAAUGAAGAAAAACCGCGUUCACGUCACCGUCAUAUCUUUCCCAAAGGCGACCAUCUCCCUGGAGCCGGAGGAGCCCGAGUUCGGCCAGCCCUUCAGGGUGACCUGCUCCAUGGACGGCGUCCACCCUCCAGACAGGUUGACGUUGGUUCUGCUGGACGGUGACAGGUCUUUGACAGCAGUUCCAUGGCUGCACAUCAACCCCGACAGCUCUCAGAACUACACGCUGUCCGUGGAGCAGGAGCGCGGGACGCAGGACGCCGAGUACACGUGUGAAGCGACGCUAAUGCUCGCCAACGGUUCUGUUCUAAGACAAACUGCCAAGAGACACGUUCACUUUCGAGAGUCUCCAGAGACCGCUGAGACUUCCGCCGUCACCACAUCAGUCUUGCGCUUGGUGGCAUUAGGGACACGAGAGCCCAGGACAGCUAGUGCCGCAGGGCACAGACACAAAGGGGCUGAAGGUGAGAGCCGGUCAGAAACAGAAGACCCCCCUGGAGAGCCCCCCGGAGAGCCCCCCCACGAAAGCGGUGACACGAGCCCUACAGGAAGCAGCACGCUGCCGAGCGUCGACCUGAGCACACUGGUGCCGAGGAGCGCCGCGGCGGAGCUCUACGACUCCACACCGCUGGACGAGGACGAUAGGAGCGCUGAAAGCAGCACGACUCUCGACGUCCUGCAUCGAGGCUCAAGCUCCCCCUUGCCGGCAUUAAUGGUCCCCCUGGGGGCGUGCGUGGCCUGCGUGGCUGCCCUCGCGUUCCUGGCCUUCCUGCUCUUCUGCAUCUGUCGACAAAAACGAAAGGCACUGCCUGCGCCGCCACAAGGGCUCGCACCUGCGGCCAGGAGCCACCUCACGCACCCGUGA